rnacentral:misc_RNA from 1 species
GCCUACACAGGCAGAAUAAUCUCCCUUCGAGAGAUGACCGAGAGUUUUGUAAUUCUUGCGCUGCCAUACUUGCAGCAGUCGCAGGAUUCCCUGCAGUCUGCUCAAUAUGAAGCGCUUGUGCGUCAGAUGGGACCUCUGGGACAGACGUUUCGCCACUUUUUUAUCCCCAGCCUCAAGAUCGGAACGUUGGACUCUCUCAUGGAGGCAAGCGAUGAGUUAGCGAAACUGGAUCCAAUGAUGGAAAAUACUCUGCAGAAGCUGAUUGGGCUGAUGGAGGAAACGUCCGGAAAGCCGCGCAGUGUAGUCACGACGUUCCGAAUCAACCAAACUCAGGAAAUGUCGUCCGCUGGCUACAUCAAGAACUUCCUGUGGAGCACUGCGCAGUUCGACCCCAAGGAGACAAUUCAGAACCUAAUAGAGAAAUUUUCCCGAAUCAACGCUACAGCUGAUGAGCGUGUCCGUGUCAUGCUGGCGGAGUACAAUGAAACUCGCAACAAACUCAUAGCGGCGAACCGGAAGGGUGAGGGAAACCUGUCCAUCCGCCCAAUUCGGGAGCUAGUCGCUCUCUAUAAUCGGGACUAUCAGUGCUUUGUCGACACGGAGUUGUUGGCCACCGUUUUCGUAGCGGUACCUGUGGCGGCUCAAAAGGAAUGGAUGGCGACUUACUGGAAGAUGAACGAGUAUGUGUGCCCGCAGUCGAACCGUGUUGUGGCCGAAGACAAGGAAUACGUGCUCAACAGCAUUGUUAUGUUCCGGAAAGUCAUGGAUGAUGUAAAGACGGCGUGCCGAAAGAAGCGUUAUGUUAUCCGCGAAGUGGAGGGCACCGACGACCUUUCUUCCGCCGAGUUGCGGAGCCUGCAGCAGAGGGCUGAAAAGGAGAAGAAGGCGCUUUACACGCUUCUGUGGCAGCAGUAUUGCACCUGUUAUGUUGCCUGGAUCCACCUCAAGGCGGUGAGGGUGUUUAUCGAGGCGCUUCUGAAGUUCGGACUCCCGCCGCGUUUCAUUGCUGUGGUGCUGCAGGUGCCUGCGGAUAAGGAGGCCGAAAUCCGCAAGCGCAUUGCGCAGGUGUACCCCGAUUUGACGACGCCGUUGGCGAAUGAUGUGACUGUUGAUACUGGUGCUUUACAGCAGGAGUAUCCCUAUGUUUCCUUGAAAGUGACGAACGUGCAAAAGUAGUGGUAGGGGUAGUUGUAGGGUUGUUUGCUCUGUUUUUAAAGUCAUGCCUUUUCACUUAUUAUCGAUCUUUGCAUCCGCAGGUAUGAGGUCAGCGUUGCGGAACGAGUUUGCUGAACGAAGGGAAGCGAAAGAGUUUGAGGAGGGAAAGGGCAAUCAACAACAACAAAAGGCAAACCCGCAUUACUUUCACAGCUAUAGAAGGCUUGUGUCUGCAAACAAAAAGGAGUUUUUAGCACCUCAUUUCUAGUGGUUCCCACAGUAGCGUUUGCUCUGCUACACAGCCGGAAUUGCACCUAAACAGAUUGGGAGCAGCAGUGAGACUGGAUAGCAGAGCCUCACGGCGAUAAAGCUCGAGGAGCGAUUAAUAGUAAUAAUAUCACAAUGAUUUGUGCCACAAAGCACCUACUUCCAAUGCCGAGAAACAACGUCUCACCUCCUUGUCCAUGCGUUUUCUUUUUUUGUUCCCUUUUUGCCCAGUCUAG